GUAAGCAUGAUUGGUCCGAGUCAACAUUUCUAUGGGAAACAAAUAAAUCAAACGUUUUAACUGUUUGAUGUGAGAUCACCAGCAUCUGAUCGGUCAGUUGAAUAUCUUGCACUGCAGAAACAAUUCUGAAAAUUAUAAUUGGCUAGAACGUGUAAAAAAAAAUAAAUAAGGUGGCGGAACUACAAAUGUUUUUUUCUGACAAAUAGAAUGACUGUUUAUUUCUCAAUAGAAGUCUACAGGAUUGUGGAGCCAGCAGGAACUUCCUGUUUGGACUCCAAGGGGGAGGAGUCACUCACAACAGCUCUCUUAUUAAUAUAAUAUAAUUUACAUUUUUAUUGUCUACCUCUAUAGCUCAUUUGUGUUUACAUUUCAUUGUCACCAUGUGUGUCUGCUCAUUUAUCGUAUUAUAUUACCUUUUUAAAAUGUUAUGUGUCUUUACUGGUUUUAAUGCUUGCAUUCUUUGUAUUUUGUUUGUACUUUUACGUUUUUAUAGGGAGACAAUCUUCACAUCAAUCCAGGUACAGCAGAUGGAAAAAUCACUCUGGUGCAUUGGCAGCAAUGCUUUUUAAUGUGCAAUGUCCUCGUUAAAUAAAUACAAAUUUACAGUCAAUGGUGGAAAUGCACAAGCCAAAGCAAUUACUGGAUUAUCUGGACAUGUUGGUGGUUACCAUUUUCAACACCUUCCUUCAACAAUAGCAGUUUGUUGUGAAGAUGUUCUAAUUCUGCGCUGCUUUUAACAUGGAUCAAAUACUUUUAUUUUGUUUGAUCUUGUAAGUCAUACGUUCCCCUUAAAAUGGCCAUUUUGUUUUAUGAUUACAACAAAUGUUUAUUUCAAAAUGACCAGCUAUGUUUUUGACUCAAUUAAAAAUGUACUUUUCA